GGUCCAGUAGCUCAGGGGAUAGAGCAGCCGCCUCCUAAGCGGCAGGUCAGCCGUUCGAUUCGGCUCUGGAUCA
rnacentral:tRNA from 2 species